rnacentral:rRNA from 1 species
GACGAACGCUGGCGGCGUGCUUAACACAUGCAAGUCGAACGGUAAGGCCCUUCGGGGUACACGAGUGGCGAACGGGUGAGUAACACGUGGGUGAUCUGCCCUGCACUUCGGGAUAAGCCUGGGAAACUGGGUCUAAUACCGGAUAGGACCACUGCCUGCAUGGGUGGUGGUGGAAAGCUUUUGCGGUGUGGGAUGGGCCCGCGGCCUGUCAGCUUGUUGGUGGGGUGAUGGCCUACCAAGGCGACGACGGGUAGCCGGCCUGAGAGGGUGACCGGCCACACUUGGACUGAGGGACGGCCCAGACUCCUACGGGAGGCAGCAGUGGGGUAUAUUGCACAAUGGGCGCAAGCCUGAGGCAGCGACGCCGCGUGAGGGAUGACGGCCUUCGGGUUGUAAACCUCUUUCAGCACCGACGAAGCGCAAGUGACGGUAGGUGCAGAAGAAGGACCGGCCAACUACGUGCCAGCCGCCGCCGUAA